UUGAGGAGUUGCAGAGGUGAAGUCAUAAGGGUUGGAGAGCGUGUCCUGCUAGUUGGUUGUAGGAUAGCUCCCCUUUUGUCGAGCUGGUGGAUUUUGUAGAAAGUCCAGUGUUGUAUUUAAACCCUUUGUGUUUGUAAAUGAGUGUUUGAUAUUGUGAUUGAUUGCCUGCUUUUCUAUCCCAAGUUAAAUGUUGUCAGGGGAUUUGUUUCGCUUCCGCAUG
rnacentral:lncRNA from 1 species